rnacentral:rRNA from 1 species
UGGGGAAUUUUGGACAAUGGGCGAAAGCCUGAUCCAGCAAUGCCGCGUGUGUGAAGAAGGCCUUCGGGUUGUAAAGCACUUUUGUCCGGAAAGAAAUCCUUGGCUCUAAUACAGUCGGGGGAUGACGGUACCGGAAGAAUAAGCACCGGCUAACUACGUGCCAGCAGCCGCGGUAAUACGUAGGGUGCAAGCGUUAAUCGGAAUUACUGGGCGUAAAGCGUGCGCAGGCGGUUUGCUAAGACCGAUGUGAAAAUCCCCGGGCUCAACCUGGGAACUGCAUUGGUGACUGGCAGGCUAGAGUAUGGCAGAGGGGGGUAGAAUUCCACGUGUAGCAGUGAAAUGCGUAGAGAUGUGGAGGAAUACCGAUGGCGAAGGCAGCCCCCUGGGCCAAUACUGACGCUCAUGCACGAAAGCGUGGGGAGCAAACAGGAUUAGAUACCCUGGUAGUCCACGCCCUAAAACGAUGUCAACUAGUUGUUGGGGAUUCAUUUCCUUAGUAACGUAGCUAACGCGUGAAGUUGACCGCCUGGGGAGUACGGUCGCAGGAUUAAAACUCAAAUGAAUUGACGGGGUCAUAGCUGUUUCCU